rnacentral:misc_RNA from 1 species
AAGUCGUAACAAGGUUUCCGUAGGUGAACCUGCGGAAGGAUCAUUACCGAGUUUUCGAGCUCCGGCUCGACUCUCCCACCCUUUGUGAACGUACCUCUGUUGCUUUGGCGGCUCCGGCCGCCAAAGGACCUUCAAACUCCAGUCAGUAAACGCAGACGUCUGAUAAACAAGUUAAUAAACUAAAACUUUCAACAACGGAUCUCUUGGUUCUG